GACGAACGCUGGCGGCGUGCUUAACACAUGCAAGUCGAACGCUGAAGCUUGGUGCUUGCACUGGGUGGAUGAGUGGCGAACGGGUGAGUAAUACGUGAGUAACCUGCCCUUGACUCUGGGAUAAGCCUGGGAAACUGGGUCUAAUACUGGAUACGACAUGCCACUGCAUGGUGGUGUGUGGAAAGGGUUUUACUGGUUUUGGAUGGGCUCACGGCCUAUCAGCUUGUUGGUGGGGUAAUGGCCUACCAAGGCGACGACGGGUAGCCGGCCUGAGAGGGUGACCGGCCACACUGGGACUGAGACACGGCCCAGACUCCUACGGGAGGCAGCAGUGGGGAAUAUUGCACAAUGGGCGGAAGCCUGACGCAGCGACGCCGCGUGAGGGAUGACGGCCUUCGGGUUGUAAACCUCUUUCAGCACGGAAGAAGCGAGAGUGACGGUACGUGCAGAAGAAGCGCCGGCUAACUACGUG
rnacentral:rRNA from 1 species